AGGGAGGAGCGCUGGGAACCCGCGUUGGAGUGCGUUUCGGGGCGCGUGGAAACGCCCAGGAGAGCCAGGGGCAGCGGCGACGGCGCAGCCUGGAACGGCCAGGAGCGCGGGCGGGCAGCGGGCCGGUUGCCGCCAGGCCUCUUAUUCGAGGCUGGCGGCGGAAGGGCCCGCAGCUCCCCGCCAAGCCCUCGCGAAGCGCCAA
rfam:Ailuropoda melanoleuca scaffold569_34, whole genome shotgun sequence.